rnacentral:rRNA from 1 species
GACGAACGUUGGCGGCGUGCUUAAUAUAUGCAAGUCAACUGAAGCAGUGGUAGCAAUAUCGCUGUGGAGGUGGCGCACGGGUGAGUAACACGUAGGUAAUCUGCCUUCAGGUCUGGCAUAACUCCGGGAAACCGGGGCUAAUAGCAGAUGAUGCAGCGGCUCGACAUCGAGACAGUUGUUAAAGCUAUGGCGCCUGAAGAUGAGCCUGCGUCUGAUUAGCUAGUUGGCGGGGUAACGGCCCACCAAGGCAACGAUCAGUAGCUGGUCUGAGAGGAUGAUCAGCCACACUGGAACUGAGACACGGUCCAGACUCCUACGGGAGGCAGCAGUAAGGAAUAUUGCCCAAUGGGAGAAAUCCUGAAGCAGCAACGCCGCGUGAGGGACGAAGGGCUUUUGCUUGUAAACCUCUGUAGUGAGAGAAAAAAAUCCCAAUCUUUGGGACAUGAUGGUAUCUCAAAAGUAAGCCCCGGCUAACUACGUG